rnacentral:tRNA from 1 species
UGGGGUAGAGCUCAGUGGUAGAGUGCGUGCUUAGCAUGCACAAGGUCCUGGGUUCAAUCCCCGGUACCUCCA